GACGAACGCUGGCGGCGUGCCUAAUACAUGCAAGUUGAGCGCUGAAGGUUGGUACUUGUACCAACUGGAUGAGCAGCGAACGGGUGAGUAACGCGUGGGGAAUCUGCCUUUGAGCGGGGGACAACAUUUGGAAACGAAUGCUAAUACCGCAUAAAAACUUUAAACACAAGUUUUAAGUUUGAAAGAUGCAAUUGCAUCACUCAAAGAUGAUCCCGCGUUGUAUUAGCUAGUUGGUGAGGUAAAGGCUCACCAAGGCGAUGAUACAUAGCCGACCUGAGAGGGUGAUCGGCCACAUUGGGACUGAGACACGGCCCAAACGCCUACGGGAGGCAGCAGUAGGGAAUCGUCGGCAAUGGACGAAAGUCUGACCGAGCAACGCCGCGUGAGUGAAGAAGGGUUUCGGAUCGUAAAACUCGGUUGGUAGAGAAGAACGUUGGUGAGAGUGGAAAGCUCAUCAAGUGACGGUAACUACCCAGAAAGGGACGGCUAACUACGUG
rnacentral:rRNA from 1 species